UACGUAGGGUGCGAGCGUUAAUCGGAAUUACUGGGCGUAAAGCGUGCGCAGGCGGUCCGCAAAGUCUGAUGUGAAAGCCCCGGGCUUAACCUGGGAAUGGCGGUUGAAACUGGCGAACUUGAAUCUGGCAGAGGGGGGUGGAAUUCCGCGUGUAGCAGUGAAAUGCGUAGAUAUGCGGAGGAACACCGAUGGCGAAGGCAAUCCCCUGGGCCUGCACUGACGCUCAUGCACGAAAGCGUGGGGAGCAAACAGG
rnacentral:rRNA from 1 species